ensembl:snoRNA SNORA70 Small nucleolar RNA SNORA70
CUGCAGCUUAUUAAGCCGACCAGUUUAGUUGAUGUACUGUCCUGGUGUGCAAGGGCUGCAGACAGAAAUUCUCUGGUUUGUGUAUGUGUCUAGCUGUGAAGUGCUAGACGGUGAAAGGGACCAUUGAAACAAAG